GUCCAGUGUAGCCUAGUGGACAUGGCACCUGCCCUGUAAGCAGAAGGUUGUUUGGUUCGAUUCCCGCCCCUGGACA